rnacentral:rRNA from 1 species
AGCGGUAACAGAAAGUAGCUUGCUACUUUGCUGACGAGCGGCGGACGGGUGAGUAAUGCUUGGGAAUAUGCCUUAUGGUGGGGGACAACAGUUGGAAACGACUGCUAAUACCGCAUAACGUCUACGGACCAAAGGGGGGGAUCUUCGGACCUCUCGCCAUUUGAUUAGCCCAAGUGAGAUUAGCUAGUUGGUAAGGUAAUGGCUUACCAAGGCGACGAUCUCUAGCUGGUUUGAGAGGAUGAUCAGCCACACUGGGACUGAGACACGGCCCAGACUCCUACGGGAGGCAGCAGUGGGGAAUAUUGCACAAUGGGCGAAAGCCUGAUGCAGCCAUGCCGCGUGUGUGAAGAAGGCCUUCGGGUUGUAAAGCACUUUCAGUUGUGAGGAAAGGGGUGUAGUUAAUAGCUGCAUCCUGUGACGUUAGCAACAGAAGAAGCACCGGCUAACUUCGUGCCAGCAGCCGCGGUAAUACGAGGGGUGCAAGCGUUAAUCGGAAUUACUGGGCGUAAAGCGUUCGUAGGCGGUUUGUUAAGCAAGAUGUGAACAGCCCCGGGCUCAACCUGGGAACUGCAUUUUGAACUGGCAAACUAAGUACUGUACAGGGUGGUGGAAUUUCCAGUGUAGCGGUGAAAUGC